rnacentral:lncRNA from 1 species
UAGAGGAGGGACCCGGCCUAGCCGGUGGUUCAGGUGGCCGGUCGGGCUGGAAGGGCGGGGAUGAGGGAUGGGACGCAUCCCCGGGGGAUGCUCCUCCAAAGCUUUUAUCGGGCGAGCGCAGUGGCUCACGCCUGUAAUUCCUGCACUUUGGGAGGCUAAGGAUGAAAGGCUUCCUAGCACAAACACCACCCCUGGAGUUCCCGGUACAUCAAUACCAGCCUGGGGAUCACGUUCUCAUCAAGAGUUGGAAGAGGGAAAGCUUGAACCAGCUUAGGAGGACCUCAUCUGGUACUCUUGAUGAAUGAAACAGCAAUCUGAAUGGCUGAAAAAGGAUGGACCCAGCACUCCAGGGAGAAAACUUGGCAUUCUUUGGGAAUCUAACAGGAUGCAGUGAACCCAAGCCUUUUGAAGAGCUCACCAAUCAGACUGCCCUUGUCUAUCCAUGAGCAGAUGUUUGAUAGUAUUGCGGAGGCCCUCUAGUGGGUAUGCUGCCAAGCAACUGGAGUGGCACUUGGGCUCUAAUCCAGUUGUCUAUCCCUUUCACCCUGGCAUUUCAUCAGCCAAACAAAAACCAACUAACUCAGAAAAAAAGGAAAGCCCCUCAAGGGUCCUUUGACCCCGAUAUCUACAUAGAUGCUAUCGGGGUCCCCUGAGGGGUACCAAACGAAUUCAAAGCUCGAAAUCAAAUAGCUGCUGGAUUCAAGUCUGUCCUUUUCUUGUGGUCUACUAUAAAUAAAAAUGUAGACUGGAUAAAUUACAUAUACUAUAACCAACAACGAUUUGUCAGUUACACCAGGGAUGCCAUUAAAGGAAUAGCUGAACAAUUGGGUUUCACCAGCCAAAUGGCCUGGGAAAAUAGAAUAGCUCUUGACAUGAUAUUAGUGGAAGUCCAAUGUUGUACCUGUAUCCCCAAUAAUACAGCCCCUGAUGUAACUAUCACUAAGGGUCUAUAAGGCCUCACCACUCUAGGAAAUGAACUAGCUGAAAAUUCGGGAAUGAAUGAUCCCUUUACAGGUGUAAUGGAAAAAAUGGUUUGGUAGAUGGAAAGGACUAAUGGCCUCUAUUCUCACCUCCCUUGUGAUCAUAAUAGGGGUGCUCAUUCUCUUAGGGUGCUGUAUUAUACCCUGUGUCUGCGGACUAGUUCAAAAGCUCAUAGAAACAGCCCUUACCAAGACCUCCCACAACUCUCCCCCACCCUAUUCAGAUAAACGUUUAUUUCUAAGCAACCAAGAAGAGCAGUGAAGCCAGAUCCUGUUAGAAAUAUAUGAAGAGGAAGGACUACAAAAUCAAAAGGGGAAAAUUAUUAGACAAAAUGAGUUGCUCUACAAAGGUCCAACUUCGUUGUCCUUUGUUCUGUAACCUUUGUUCUGUAAACUGCCCUUCCCGCAGAAACUGUCUUUCCCGCCGACCAAAACUGCCCUUCACUAUCACUGUAAUCCAUACCCCUACUCUAUUUGAAACUGCCAAUCGGGAUCAGCUUACAUUGUGUGGUUCAACCACCAGCCAAUGAGGAAAAAACACAGAAGCAAAAGCUAUGAUGCAUUAGGGUUAAAAACCCCUUCCUUUCCCUGUCCAAUGUGCUCUUGAGACUGCUACAGGCGCAAGCAGCCACCUUCUGCAGAAGUAAACCUUGCCUUGCUGAGAAAUUUUUCUUUUGAGUGCUGGUCUCUCUCUGUGGCACCAAGAACUUAUUUCUAACAUGGAGUGAUUUCCAAGAUAGAUGGUUAAGUGAAAAUAAAAACUGUUGCCAGGCACGGUAGCUCAUGCCUGUAAUCCCAGCACUUUGGGAGUCUGAGGAGGUUGGAUUAUUUGAGGUCAGGAGUUUGAGACCAGCCUAGCCAACAUGGUGAAAUCCUGUCUCUUCUAAAUAUACAAAAAAUUAGCCGGGCGUGGUUGUGGGUGCCUGUAAUCCCAGCUACUUGGGAAGCUGAGGCAGAAGAAUUGCUUAAACCCAGGAAGCAGAGGUUGCAGUGAGCCGAGAUCACAGCACUGCACUCCAGCCUGGGUGAUAGAGUGAGACUCGGUCUCAAAAACAAUAAUAAUAAUAAUAAUAAUACAAAUAAAAAAAUGAAAAUAAAGGCCAGGUGCUGUGGCUCACCCCUCUAAUCCCAGCACUUUGGGAGGCUGAGGCAGGUGGAUCACAAGGUCAGGAGUUCAAAACCAGCCUGGCCAAGAUGGUGAAACCCCGUCUCUACUAAAAAUACAAAAAUUAGCUGGGCACAGUGGCAGGCGCCUGUAAUCCCAGCUACUUGGGAGGCUGAGGCAGGAUAAUUGCUUAAACCUGGGUGGCAGAGGUUGCAGUGAGCCAAGAUCAUGCCACUGCACUCCAGCCUGGGC